rnacentral:pre_miRNA from 1 species
GUAGUAUUCCCUCCGUCCCAAAAUUCUUGUCUUGCAUUUGUUUAGAUACGGAUGUAUCUAACACUAAAAUGUAACUAGAUACAUCCGUAUUUAGACAAAUUUAAGACAAGAAUUUUGGGACGGAGGGAGUACAAA